rnacentral:rRNA from 1 species
UACGAAGGGGGCUAGCGUUGUUCGGAAUUACUGGGCGUAAAGCGCGUGUAGGCGGGUCGUUAAGUCGGGGGUGAAAGCCCAGAGCUCAACUCUGGAACUGCCUUCGAUACUGGCGACCUGGACCCAAGUAGAGGCAAGUGGAAUUGCGAGUGUAGAGGUGAAAUUCGUAGAUAUUCGCAGGAACACCAGUGGCGAAGGCGACUUGCUGGACUUGUGGUGACGCUGAGACGCGAAAGCGUGGGUAGCAAACAGG